CCUACGGGUGGCAGCAGUGAGGAAUAUUGGUCAAUGGUCGGGAGACUGAACCAGCCAAGCCGCGUGAGGGAUGAAGGUACAGAGUAUCGUAAACCUCUUUUGUCAGGGAACAAAGGCGGGGACGCGUCCCCGGAUGAGUGUACCUGAAGAAAAAGCAUCGGAUAACUCCGUGCCAGCAGCCGCGGUAAUACGGAGGAAGCGAGCGUUAUCCGGUUUUAUUGGGUUAAACGGGUGCGCGGGCGGUGUGUUAAGUCGGCGUGCAAACCCCGGGGCUCAACCCCGGCCCGCCGUUGAAACUGGCAGUCUCGAGUUGGAGAGAAGUAUGCGGAAUGCGCGGUGUAGCGGUGAAAUGCAUAGAUAUCGCGCAGAACUCCGAUUGCGAAGGCAGCAUGCCGGCUCCACACUGACGCUGAGGCACGAAAGCGUGGGUAUCGAACAGGAUUAGAUACCCGAGUAGUC
rnacentral:rRNA from 1 species